CACGCCGUAAACGGUGGGCACUAGGUGUGGGACCCUUCCACGGGUUCCGUGCCGUAGCUAACGCAUUAAGUGCCCCGCCUGGGGAGUACGGCCGCAAGGCUAAAACUCAAAGGAAUUGACGGGGGCCCGCACAAGCGGCGGAGCAUGCGGAUUAAUUCGAUGCAACGCGAAGAACCUUACCUGGGUUUGACAUAUACCGGAAACAUCUGGAGACAGGUGCCCCGCAAGGUCGGUAUACAGGUGG
rnacentral:rRNA from 1 species